rnacentral:rRNA from 1 species
AGUGAACGCUGGCGGUAGGCCUAACACAUGCAAGUCGAACGGCAGCACAGUAAGAGCUUGCUCUUACGGGUGGCGAGUGGCGGACGGGUGAGGAAUACAUCGGAAUCUACUUUUUCGUGGGGGAUAACGUAGGGAAACUUACGCUAAUACCGCAUACGACCUACGGGUGAAAGCAGGGGAUCUUCGGGCCUUGCGCGAUUGAAUGAGCCGAUGUCGGAUUAGCUAGUUGGCGGGGUAAAGGCCCACCAAGGCGACGAUCCGUAGCUGGUCUGAGAGGAUGAUCAGCCACACUGGAACUGAGACACGGUCCAGACUCCUACGGGAGGCAGCAGUGGGGAAUAUUGGACAAAGGGCGCAAGCCUGAUCCAGCCAUACCGCGUGGGUGAAGAAGGCCUUCGGGUUGUAAAGACCUUUUGUUGGGAAAGAAAAGCAGCAGGUUAAUACCCCGCCGUUCUGACGGUACCCAAAGAAUAAGCACCGGCUAACUUCGUG